rnacentral:rRNA from 1 species
UUAACGCUGAGGUGUGAUGACGAGGCACUACGGUGCUGAAGUGAUAAAUGCCCUGCUUCCAGGAAAAGCCUCUAAGCAUCAGGUAACACGAAAUCGUACCCCAAACCGACACAGGUGGUCAGGUAGAGAAUACCAAGGCGCUUGAGAGAACUCGGGUGAAGGAACUAGGCAAAAUGGUGCCGUAACUUCGGGAGAAGGCACGCUGAU